UCACAGUUUGAAAAUUUACCAAAAUCUUGCUCAUUCAUUUCCUCUCCAUUGCGAAAAUCCCGAUCCACACUUCUCAUCUUCUUCCGAUUGCCAAAUUCUCUCAAUCUCUCAAGCUAAAUGCAAAAAUCUCUUAGCAGAACUCUCCUCGGCUUAUCAGUAUGCGUUCCUCUACUCAUCGGCGCACUGCUGCUCGGCGGAACCCUGGAUUACAAAUCGCAAUUCCUCAAUUUCAUCCCUCAGCUCAGUAAUAAUGCCUCGCCGUGCGCCGCCGGAUCGCCGCCGCUCCGAGUCUACAUGUACGAUCUGCCGCCGCGAUUCAAUGUCGGAUUGAUGGACCCUAACUUCUCCGACGCCGCUCCGGUCACCGCCCGGAAUAUCCCCCCCUGGAGGUGGAACGACGGACUCCGGCGGCAGCACAGUGUGGAGUACUGGAUGAUGGCGUCGCUUCUCUACGACGGGGAUGGGGAAUCGGAGUCGGCCACGGAGGCUGUUCGGGUUAUGGACGCCGAUUUGGCUGACGUGUUCUUCGUGCCGUUUUUCUCGUCUCUUAGCUUCAAUGUUCAUGUUCGGAAUAUGGCGGAGAUCGAUACUGUGGAUGAGAAAUUGCAGCUGGAGAUGGUAAAUAUAUUAAGAGAAUCAGAUUACUGGAAGAGGUCUGAUGGACGAGAUCAUGUGAUUCCCAUGCAUCAUCCAAAUGCUUUCAGGCAUUAUCGUGAUCUGCUCAAUGCCUCGAUAUUCAUAGUUGCUGAUUUUGGGCGCAUAAUGAACAUUUCCACUCUGACUAAAGAUGUUGUUGCGCCCUAUCCACACAUGGUAGAAUCAUAUAGUAGUGAAGACCGUCAAGAUCCAUACAAGUCUCGUGAGACACUUCUUUUCUUCCGCGGGAGGACCCAUAGAAAAGAUGAAGGAAUAAUUCGUGCACAACUUUACAAGGCACUGAAUGGAACAAAGGAUGUCAUUUAUGAGGAGGCUCAUGCAUCAGAAGAAGGCUUCAAAGCGUCUGCUGAUCAUAUGCGUUCAUCAAAGUUUUGUCUCCAUCCUGCGGGCGACACUCCAUCUUCAUGUCGUCUAUUUGAUGCUAUCGUCAGCCACUGCGUCCCCGUCAUUGUGAGCGACAGAAUUGAGCUACCUUACGAAAGUGAAUUAGACUACAAGGAGUUCUCCAUUUUCAUCUCAGUAGAUGAAGCGCUUAAACCCGGCUACUUGGUCAAUGAGCUCAGGAGCGUUUCACAAGAGAAAUGGACAAACAUGUGGUUGCGACUCAAAGACAUUUCACACCACUUUGAAUUUCAGUAUCCUCCCAAGAACGAAGACGCGGUCAAUAUGAUUUGGAGACAGGUGAAGGCGAAAGUUCCCGCAGUUAAGCUUGCAGUGCAUCGGAGUAGGAGGCUGAAAAUACCCGAUUGGUGGAGAUAACACUGAGAAGCAUGUUCUUAUAUCUUUGUACAUUCAUAUUCAUUCUUUUUGGCACAGAAGUGCAAUAAGGUGUAAUGGGUUUUCACGGCCAUCACUGGAAACGCUAAACAGGAAACGCGCAGUCAAUCAUUUGCGGUGCGUACCCUGCUGGCGAAUGAGUUGUAUAGUUGCUGAGUUUCUACGUUGCAGUUUGCAGGAUGUGUUCGUGUAUCGAAGCAAAAAGGCGAUUCCGGUGGCCCUCACACUCCAGCCCGACAUCAUGUGAGGCCCAAGGUCUCACACUUGUGUUUUAGAGAUGAAAGCAACUAUACAACAAUAGUGGGAUUCAAACUCAGACUCAUUGCAACAUGAUCUGCCUCUCUAUCGGCAACUGCGCUGCGCCUCUGCUGCCAUUAUUAACGUGUCAUCUAUCAACAGAUCGAGGGAGGAGCAUUCCAACCACUAAGUCACUAAAACCGUUUUUCCAUUUUCCUAUUCACUAUAAUUGGCCAACAUAUGUAAUUUUUUAUUUACGAAACAACAUAUACAACUCAUCAUCUAUUACCUUAA